UCUCAAGUCUGAUCUUUAAGAGGUAGACCGAAGCUGAUACCUAAAAUUAUGUGAUAUAUAGCCAUGUAUAAGAUACAAAGUCUGAAAACUUAAAGAAUGCAACAUUUGGGGUUACAGCUUCCUGUCAAAGUUAUAGUACUUCUGUAACUUGUGAAGUACUAAAGCGGCUGUUUUGUUAGCGAGAUAGAAAUAAACUCCAAACUGAACCAGUCAGUUUCUUCCUGGGAUUACACAGAGGAAUCAUGAAUUAUUAAACAUGUACACAUAUUACAGUAUCACCACCCCCAUUAUUCCAUUUUGAGACACUUUAUAUAGUUUUAAUGAGAUGAGUAAUACCCAAAUUGUACCACCAAAGCAUCCUUGUUAAAGCAUGAAAACACUGUAGAAGCAUUUCACUGUAGCUGUAUCAGGAUCAGGUUUUAAGGAUCAAAUUUAAAUCAGCUGUUCACUAAUCAGAUCAGCACAACAUUGUUUUUUACAUGUUACACCAAUUAGUUGAAAGCAGUUUUUCAAGCCAAUAAAAAACCUGCAGUUAAUGAAAUAUGAAAGAACAAAGGAAGUAUAGACCCAAGCUCCAGAUGAGUUCCCUUACAUGAGCAGACCCAAAAUCAUCACCAGUGGCCAGCUCACAGUUGUCAGAAGAUGUGCCAUAGAGCUGAGAGGAGGGCUUCACUGGCAGCGCUCCACCUGGCCGAGCCAGUGUGCUGCAUCUGGGAAGGACAGGGAAGCACGCUUAAAUGGAGGGAAGACUGCAGGGACAUGAAGACCGUUACCACCGCUUUUAUUUCCUCAAGGCUGGACGACUGUAACUCACUGUAUCUGGGUGUUGGCCAGUCUUCUCUGUCUCCCAAUAAGAGAAACAGCAUUGCACUGAUACUAGCAUCCCUGCACUGGCUACCUGUCAAAUACAGGAGUGAUUUCAAGGUUCUCUUAUUUGUUUUUAAAGUCAUACAUGGGCUGGCAUCCCUACUCCAACUCCGCUUAGAUCCCCACAACAAUUGUUUUUAGUUUGUUUCACGAUGGAGGCUCAAGGGUAGGGGAGAUCUUGCCUUUGCAGUUGCAGCUCCAAAGCUUUGAAAUAGUGUUCCGCUUUCAAGUUCCCCCUCUACUGACACCUUUAACACAAAUCUCAAGACUUACAUUUUUUCAGCGGCCUUUGGAUGCUUUCACUGGUUUCAGUAUUUUUAUAAUCUUUAUUUAUCUACAUAUUUAUUUAAUUACAUUUAUUCUGUUUUCUGUCUUACUUUGGUGCAUAUUUAUAAUUGCCUUUCCUUGUUGUCUUCUAUUCGUGCCUUUUACUACCGAUGUCAUUUCAUUCUCUACUGUUUCAUUGUAAUUUGCACAGCACAUGUGCUCUGUAAAUAAACUUGACUUGAUACUUAACAUACA